CGUCUCAGUUCGGAUUGUAGUCUGCAACUCGACUACAUGAAGCUGGAAUCGCUAGUAAUCGCGGAUCAGAAUGCUGCGGUGAAUGCGUUCCCGGGUCUUGUACACACCGCCCGUCACACCAUGGGAGUCGGUAACACCCGAAGUCGGUAGCCUAACCGUAAGGAGGGCGCCGCCGAAGGUGGGAUUGAUGACUGGGGUGAAGUCGUAACAAGGUAGC
rnacentral:rRNA from 1 species